ensembl:misc_RNA Y_RNA Y RNA
GGCUUAUCUGAAAGUAGUGAGUUAUCUGGAUUGAUUGUUCAGAGUCAGUCACAGAUUGAACUCCUUGUUCUACUCUUUCCCCUCUUCUCACUACUGCACUUGACUAGUCUUAA